rnacentral:rRNA from 1 species
AGCGAACGCUGGCGGCGUGCCUAACACAUGCAAGUCGAACGUGAAAGUGCUCCGGCACUAGUAAAGUGGCGUACGGGUGAGUAACACGUAGGUAAUCUACCAUAGAGCUCGGAAUAACCUGCCGAAAGGCGGGCUAAUACUGGAUAGUGCGCGGGAGUCGUAAAGACUCCCACGGGAAAGGAAGCUGGCAACAGCCUCCACUCUUUGAUCAGCCUGCGUCCCAUUAGCUAGUUGGCAGGGUAAUGGCCUACCAAGGCAAUGAUGGGUAGCUGGUCUGAGAGGAUGAUCAGCCACACUGGGACUGAAACACGGCCCAGACUCCUACGGGAGGCAGCAGUGGGGAAUAUUGCGCAAUGGACGAAAGUCUGACGCAGCAACGCCGCGUGAGUGAGGAAGGCCUUCGGGUUGUAAAGCUCUGUCGAGAGGGGCGAAAAAAUUGCAGUGAAUAGCUGCAGUCUUGACGGUACCUCUAGAGGAAGCACCGGCUAACUCCGUGCCAGCAGCCGCGGUAA